AUUGAACGCUGGCGACAUGCCUUACACAUGCAAGUCGAACGGCAGCACGGGUGCUUGCACCUGGUGGCGAGUGGCGAACGGGUGAGUAAUACAUCGGAACAUGUCCUGUAGUGGGGGAUAGCCCGGCGAAAGCCGGAUUCAUACCGCAUACGAUCUACGGAUGAAAGCGGGGGACCUUCGGUCCUCGCGCUAUAGGGUUGGCCGAUGUCUGAUUAGCUAGUUGGUGGGGUAAAGGCCUACCAAGGCGACGAUCAGUAGCUGGUCUGAGAGGACGACCAGCCACACUGGGACUGAGACACGGCCCAGACUCCUACGGGAGGCAGCAGUGGGGAAUUUUGGACAAUGGGCGAAAGCCUGAUCCAGCAAUGCCGCGUGUGUGAAGAAGGCCUUCGGGUUGUAAAGCACUUUUGUCCGGAAAGAAAUCCUUGGCCCUAAUACGGCCGGGGGAUGACGGUACCGGAAGAAUAAGCACCGGCUAACUACGUG
rnacentral:rRNA from 1 species